AGUGAACGCUGGCGGUAGGCCUAACACAUGCAAGUCGAACGGCAGCACAGUAAGAGCUUGCUCUUACGGGUGGCGAGUGGCGGACGGGUGAGGAAUACAUCGGAAUCUACUUUUUCGUGGGGGAUAACGUAGGGAAACUUACGCUAAUACCGCAUACGACCUACGGGUGAAAGCAGGGGAUCUUCGGACCUUGCGCGAUUGAAUGAGCCGAUGUCGGAUUAGCUAGUUGGCGGGGUAAAGGCCCACCAAGGCGACGAUCCGUAGCUGGUCUGAGAGGAUGAUCCGCCCAACUGGAACUGAGACACGGUCCAGACUCCUACGGGAGGCAGCAGUGGGGAAUAUUGGACAAUGGGCGCAAGCCUGAUCCAGCCAUACCGCGUGGGUGAAGAAGGCCUUCGGGUUGUAAAGCCCUUUUGUUGGGAAAGAAAAGCAGCAGGUUAAUACCCCGCUGUUCUGACGGUACCCAAAGAAUAAGCACCGGCUAACUUCGUG
rnacentral:rRNA from 1 species